GCGCGCGGCGAUAGAAUGCUGAAUGCACUAGUCCCCAAUGGAUCACUAAAGUUAAGCCACGUCAUGCGUGGUUAGUACCGGGACGGGUGACUGUCUGGGAUAAUAGAUGACUAUUUCGGGAU
rnacentral:rRNA from 1 species